CCUACGGGAGGCAGCAGUGAGGAAUAUUGGUCAAUGGACGCGAGCCUGAACCAGCCAAGUAGCGUGAAGGAUGACUGCCCUACGGGUUGUAAACUUCUUUUAUAAAGGAAUAAAGUGAGGCACGUGUGCCUUUUUGUAUGUACUUUAUGAAUAAGGAUCGGCUAACUCCGUGCAACCGGCCGCGGUAAGACGGAGGAUCCGAGCGUUAGCCGGAUUUCUUGGGGUUAAGGGGAGGGAAGAUGGGUGGUUAGGUAAGUGGUAAACUUGAGGGGCGCAACCCCUUGCCGCAAUUGAAACUGGCGGUCUUGAGGGGAAGAGAAGUAGGCGGAAUGCGUGGUGUAGCGGUGAAAUGCAUAGAUAUCACGCAGAACCCCGAUUGCGAAGGCAGCAUGCCGGCUUCCGACUGACGCUGAAGCACGAAAGCGUGGGGAUCGAACAGGAUUAGAUACCCUGGUAGUC
rnacentral:rRNA from 1 species